rnacentral:tRNA from 1 species
UGGGGAAUCGUCUAAUGGCAGGACGGCGGACUCUGACUCCGCUAAUCUAGGUUCGAGUCCUAGUUCCCCAACCA